UGGGGGAUAUUGCACAAUGGGCGAAAGCCUGAUGCAGCGACGCCGCGUGGGGGAUGAAGGCCUUCUGGUUGUAAACUUCUUUUGCUCUGAACAAGGCAUGCUAAUGGGUGUGUUGAGUGUAGGGGUUGAUUAGCGCCGGCUAACUACGUGCCAGCAGCCGCGGUAAUACGUAGGGCGCGAGCGUUGUCCGGAAUUAUUGGGCGUAAAGGGCUUGUAGGUGGCUGGUUGCGUCUGUCGUGAAAGCUCAUGGCUUAACUGUGGGUUUGCGGUGGGUACGGGCUGGCUUGAGUGCAGUAGGGGAGGCUGGAAUUCCUGGUGUAGCGGUGGAAUGCGCAGAUAUCAGGAGGAAUACCGGUGGCGAAGGCGGGUCUCUGGGCUGUUACUGACACUGAGGAGCGAAAGCAUGGGGAGCGAACAGG
rnacentral:rRNA from 1 species